UACAGGGGGUGCAAACGUUGCUCGGAAUCAUUGGGCGUAAAGGGCGCGUAGGCGGCCAGGUAAGUCGAAUGUGAAAGCCCAGGGCUCAACCUUGGAAGUGCAUCCGAAACUACUUGGCUCGAAUCUCGGAGAGGGCGGUGGAAUUCCCAGUGUAGAGGUGAAAUUCGUAGAUAUUGGGAGGAACACCGGUGGCGAAGGCGACCGCCUGGACGAAGAUUGAC
rnacentral:rRNA from 1 species